rnacentral:rRNA from 1 species
UACGUAGGGUGCGAGCGUUAAUCGGAUUUACUGGGCGUAAAGGGUGCGCAGGCGGUUCUGUAAGACCGGUGUGAAAUCCCCGGGCUCAACCUGGGAAUUGCGCUUGUGACUGGCGGGCUCGAGUACGGUAGAGGGGGGUGGAAUUCCUGGUGUAGCAGUGAAAUGCGUAGAGAUCAGGAGGAACACCGAUGGCGAAGGCAGCCCCCUGGGCCUGUACUGACGCUCAUGCACGAAAGCGUGGGGAGCAAACAGG